rnacentral:lncRNA from 1 species
ACUUGUUUGCGAUAGCACCAGCAGCAUAGGAAAGAGUAGUACCAGAAUUAAAUGACUUUCAUGGAGACAGAAAGUUGCAGCAGAGACCCGUUCUGCUGUGUGGGAUGCUCUGAGGUCGGCUCUGUGCUGCAGGUGGGAAAUGAGGAUGGGGAGGAGGGAAAUUAGUGUUGACAUGUUUGUAAAUUGUUAGCCAGGUGUUUUAAACCCAGUUCCACUGUUAGAAGCAAUCUGACAAUAGACUUCAGUAGAUACAUAGAGAUUGGGAUUGCCUUCCAAUACUUGUUCUGGUCCACGGGCCAGUUCCAGGAUGGGAGCGAGCCUUCUGUCUAAGACACAAAAGAGUCCCUGUGGUCUGACAUCUCCGCUUUCCUCUGCAGCAUCUGUCUGCAGGGCACUGCCAUGGUAACCCCAGUGUACCAGGCAGCUAUUCGAGUACAAGCCGUGCCUCAGUCCCUGCGACCGUUCUCACAAUCUCUGUUCUAAGAGGUCAGUAACAGCAGAGAAGCAACCGCUCGCAGACCUUGUUACUUCUGUGUGCAUAGCUUGUAAGCAGCCACCAACGCAUCGCCUUGGUGACCACCGAGGGAGGGAGCUUCAUUCGGUGGCGCUGGAACCUCCACGGCACUCAUCUUCCCAGGAGAGGUGCAGAGGUGCGCGGGUGCUUUGUGUGCAUCAGCCAGACGGAUGCUGGCCCUGCAGCUGCUUUGUGCCUCUGGGGGCGGCACUGGCACUGGAAUCGCAGCCCUGAGGUGCUCUGCUGCCGGAAGACGCAGCUCCCAUCAGCAUCAGGAGGAGUUACACAGGUCCUGUAUUUGGCCGAGGAGAGCCGCUCCGUGCCCAGAGGGACAGCUGCAGUGCCGGCCGGGUGCCCUCGGUGCUGCUCCCACCCUUCCCGGCUGUUCCCCCAGCCUGGCCGCAGGCGAUGGUCUCCCUGCUGCUGUAGGUCGGUUCAGUGGGAUAUUAGAGCGUGGUCGGCUAAAUAGUUAUUUUCUCAGGAACGGGAAGCAGCAGCAUCCAUCAGCUGGGUGGUGUUAGCAGGAGGGCUGGGAACCGCUGACCCAGCAGCCCGAGGUGGUUCCUCUCCUUCAGCUCAUGCCUCCAGCUCCAGCAAACUAAGGCAGGUUCCCAAGUGACUGGAUCUUAAAAGACCCGGCUCAUUCUCCCCCAAGAAACACAUGCCAGUCUGUAGCUAACACCACCGAAAGGGACCAUGGCACCACACCACUGCAGAGCAGAGCGUGCUGGUGCAAGGAGGAGCCUCUCCGCCCCGGUGCACGGAGAGGCUCUUUCAACUUUGGCACCUAGGCGCAUUUCAUACUCAGCCGUGCCGCCCAAAUACUGUUAAUGUGGUUGUUGCAGUCGUUUUUCCAUGUAACUUAACAUUUCUUCUCAUUGGAAGAUGUUUUCAGCAGAUGAAUAAAAUUGACCCUGUGGAAAAAAAAAAAUGCUCC